AGUAGGCAGAGAUGUCUAUGUCCUUUUCGGGACUGCUCUAGAGGUGCUGCAUGGCUGUCGUCAGCUCGUGUCGUGAGAUGUUGGGUUAAGUCCCGCAACGAGCGCAACCCUUGUCCUUAGUUGCUAACAGGUAAAGCUGAGAACCCUAAGGAAACUGUCGGCGAUAAGCCGGAGGAAGGUGGGGAUGACGUCAAGUCCUCAUGGCCUUUAUGUCCAGGGCUACACACGUGCUACAAUGGGCGGUACAAAGGGUUGCAAACCCGCGAGGGGGAGCCAAUCCCAAAAAACCGUUCUCAGUUCGGAUUG
rnacentral:rRNA from 1 species